AUAAGCAACGUGCCCCAAAGACUGGGAUAGUCGAGGGAAACCACGGGUAAUACCAGAUGUGGUCCUUAGAUGGCAUCAUCGAGGGAUUAAAUCGAGCAAUCGGCUUUGGGAGCGGCUUAUGUCCUAUCAGCUUGUUGGUGAGGUAACGGCUCACCAAGGUACGACGGGUAGGGGGUCUGAGAGGAUGAUCCCCCCGAGUGGGAUGCGACACGGCC
rnacentral:rRNA from 1 species